GUCGCCGCGGGGUCGGCUUGAGGCGCGUGCGGUGAGCGGGGGCGCGCUGCCGCCGUUGCGACGCAGACGGGGAUGGCGGCCGUGAGUGGGGCUGUGGGGUGGGAGAUCCGCAGCAAAGUGCAGCCAAACGGUGGGAUCCGGGCAGAGCACGGAGAUAUGGGAAAAGAAGCCGGGGAUCUGGGCAACACAGGGAGAUCUGGGCUGAAAGGAAGGAAAGAAGUAAGGAAGAGAAAGGAAGGAAGGAAAGGAAGGGAGGGAAGACCAGAUAUAAUAUCGGCAGACCAGAUAUGUGUAUGGGAAUAAGGGUCCCAUAAGUCGUGAGGAGACGUCCCACGCAGGGCACAGCCCUUUGUGCUACCCCGUGGGAGGUGAGCUCACAGGUUAGGUUGGGUUGCCGGUUGGGGUAGGAGAAAAGCUCCCGGGAGGGAGUUGCUACAGAGGGGACCUGUAAGUCGUAUGCGUGGGAAAAGAGGAAUAACUCUCGCCUAGGUGGUUGGUAACAGCGGAUUUUGUUAAAUGACAGCGUGGAUUUUUGUGGCAAUCAUAGCAGGAGUCACAGGUUGUAUAAUUUCUAUUACCAUCUGCUGUAAAUGUUCGGUACCGUGUGUUUCAACUACAGAUGCAUUCAAAACAUUCUUUCAGGCGUUUGAACUCAGACUGUACUUAAGCCGGCAUUUGUGUGUGUGUGUGUGUGUGUGUGUGUGUGUGUGUGUGUGUGAGUGGGACGUGGCAGAGCCAUGAAGUGAGUGUGGAGUCCCCAGUCCGUGGUUCCGUUCUCCCGCGAGGGAAACGGCCGGAGAAGGAUGAAGCGAAAGACGAUUCCUUGUGUUGUCUGUCAGCUGUUUGUCUGUAUUUUAUCGACUGGAAUAAGGAUGGGAGUUUGUACUCCAUAGAUUGAGAAGAGGGACCAGAGGAAAGGUGUACAUUCCACCCGACAAAUGAAUGUUGGCCCGUUUCUGUUAUGCUGUGUUUAGUGUGUGAUGAGGUGUACCGGGGCUUGGGGCAUCAUUUGUGUCCACAGUGCCAUUGUGACUGAUGGACGGAGCGCUGGGGAUUAGUGUGGGGAAAUUCUGGAGCAUGGAGAAUUACUUGUGGAAAUCUUAAGGCGGUAAUGAACCGAUAAGAAUUUUGUAAACCUCAUGGGAGGCUCCCAGGGGAAGGAAAUUCCCAAACAAACCCCUUUGGGACGCGCAUUGGCACAUUGGUGGGAUAUUGCAGGGGAACCUGGAGGCACCUUGAGUAAGAAAACUUUAAUCAAGUAUUGCAAUCAAGUGGUGGUUCAUCUAUAAGUUAGAAGAUGAUGAGAAGCGGCCCUGGAAUGGGACCCUAAAGUGUCAUACCUUCUUACAGUUACUGUAAUUCUUAAGGAGGGAAGGUAAAUGAAGUAACAUGAACAGUUUUUAUAAUUGAGUGCUCUAAUCACGAGACCAAGUACUGGGUGUUUGUGGAAACUGAAGAACUGUAUUGUUUGAUCUGUGGGUUCUGAAGGGAAUGGGACAAACAGUUUUGAUGGUCUGAUGGCGUACAGAAGUGUGACUGAAAGUAUGAAUAGUGGACAAAGAGAAAAGGGUUAAAGAGAAAGUGAGUUUAUCUGCGCUGCUAUGAGAGCAACCCCCCCACACGGUUCCCCCGAGAGCAGAACUCUCAGAGUGAGAGAGAGCCGGGGUCAGAGACUGCUGUUGUAAACAGCGUUACUUGUGAAUGGGGGGAGGUGGAGAGGAAGGGGCACUGGAAGUGAGAAUAGCCUUCAUGCGCAGAUAUCUAGGAAACCCGAAAUUGCAGUGUUAGCACUGGAAGCCUUCGGAGAGGAGGAGGUGAGACUGAAAUGUAAUGGUAGUGGUUUAUGUAAUAAUGAGAGUUUGGAGAGUGAAAGGUUUGGGAAGGACGCAGGCUGAGGAAGGCAAGGCGUAACAGGGAUGUCAGAACCAAGGAGGACAGAAAUCAGAUCCUCUGUUUAAAUUGCAGCUAGGAGAGCAGGAUAACGGAGGUUUAUUUUCUGGUGGGGACGGGUGCCUCUUACCACCCGUAGAUGAUUUUGCAGCAGUGGUAGGAGCUACUGCCCAAGAAGAAAAAGCUUACCUUUGGGAAUCAAUUAAAUAUAGGCUGAGAAAAUAAGUAGGAAUACAUAAAUUCUUGUACAUGCCAGGCUCUCCAAAACUGUUAUUCUGGCAAGACUUAUUAGAACAAAUGGAUGCAAAGGUUAACUUGAAUAAAACUGGAGCUAAACGUCAAACAAUAUUAACCGAUGGAGAAUUGUAAGUCGGGCUUUAACACAAACUGGGAAAAAAUGUUGAACCCCCAGAAGUUGCCGAAAUCUUAAAUAAGGUUUGCUUAAGAGUGUGGGUAUCAGGGAUACCUGGUAGAGCCAAAAGGCAGCCCUAAGCAAGAGCUAGAGCUAGCCCAGUCAGGGUAAAGCAGUGCCCUUUGAGGAUAUGCAACUGUAGAAGGAUAAAAGAAAUAAUAGAUAACUUUUGGAUUUCGGAUUACUAAUUGAAUGUGAAUCCAAAUACAGUACUCCAAUCUUGCUGAUGAGAAAUUGGAUAGCAAGUAUAUAAGAAUUGGAUAGCAAGUAAGAUAGCAGUAGAACUGUUGAAUGCAUACACUCCGUGGUGGUAAAUGCAUACACGUUAUUAACCAAGUUAGGGAAAGAGUAGGUGGAGUUUACCUUCUGGAUUUGAAGGAUGCCUUUUCUGCCUGAUUUGGCCAAAGGAAGCUUAAGGUUAUUUGCCAUUGAGUGUGAUGUUCAUUGAAUGUGUCCCUCCCCCGUUCGUACCGUCGUGCCGCCGGAGAGAAGGGCGGGGGCAAAGAGAGGGACCCGUGCAGACUCAGACUGCACAGGAAGUAUUGCAGAGACAAAAGGGGUGGCUCCAGACCACCCCCCCGUUCCAGGCACUCACACACUCACAUAGCCCACUGUUGCUUUCUGCAACAAUGAUGUUAGCCACCUGUGUUAGCCCUCUGCGCGCACUGACCAAUAGCCUGAUCAGGGCCAAAUGACUGCAGACGCACACCAAUAUGAUGAGCAGCAAAAUGGCGUUUAUUCACUACUAAACACAGCUUGUAUACAUUUUUACCUAGAUAACCGUGCUGUCAUGUCCCACUCUGAUUGGUUCACACCAGAUAACAUUGUGCCUUAUUUGGCCGUUUCCACAUUCUUUUCUCAUCCUUCUUCUUCUCCUGUUUUCUCUGCAACAAGGUCAGCACGAUAGCACUGUCUCUCUAUGUUUAGGGAGAGGCCUGUCCCGUACAUCCCGUGCCCCCGCAAGACGCCUACUACAACAUCUCCCCCUCCCUAAGCUAAAUACUACUUACACACACGCCUAACCCGUACAUCGCGAAGCAGCGCAAAACGCCUAAUCCUAAAUAUAUUUCGGCACACUAUUCCUACUAUUUUUCUACUACAAUUCUUAAGCAAUCAUCAGAGCAACAGGGAAUUCUUUCCCGUGCUCGGCCAAGCCUUGCCCCGUUACAGCACGAACGCAACAACCUAAACCCCUCUAUAAUUUUUCACGCAAUCUAUGAUACUCAAUGCGAUAGUCAAAAGUCUUGUCCAUCAUUCGUUGAAGGCAGUUCUGCAAGCAUCCUACAAAGCAUGGAAGACAGAUUAGAAUACACACAAAGAUUGCAAAUCCUACUGCGAGAGCUUUAAGCAAUUGCUUUAACCAUGAACCCGUUCCCCCAAACAGUCCGUCCAGCCAGCUUCCAAAGGGAUCACGCUCUUCUUUAAUCUUCUGCAUAUGUUCUUGUGUCCAUUGUAGUUGUUUGUGACACGCUGUAAUCGCCACGGACACCAUAAACAUCAGCAACAUCGGAAGUGUCAGCGUUGCAGGUGUAGUGCUCCUCUUGACGAGUGGUUCUUGAUCCCAUCGUCUGUCCCUCAGUUGUUCUGGAGUUGGCUUCGGUCUGCCAACGAAGAAUUUCUGUAGAAAACUCGCACCUAGACUCAGUUUUUGCAGAUAUGCUACUUAUAUCUGGUAUUACUUUUCGCGAUGGUACCCACAGAAUUUCCCAGAUUCAUGAUGUUUAACUGCUGCAUACCCGACCACGGAUACCCUUUAGCAAGCCCUUCCUGUGAUCAGGAGGCCCUGACUGGCCUCCCCCACAGGGGCAUUGUGCUCUAACGUGGCCAUACUGGCUGCAUCGGAAACACAGCCCUUGCUGCUGCAGCGAUCGUUGCUGUCGCGGGCCAACAGCUACGACAGUAGCUCUGGCUAGCCCUUCAUUAGUUAAAGGAGCCACCUUGAGCUUAUCUAAGACAUACUGAAUAACUUCUCCCGGGGUAUUAAGCGUACUUGGGUGGGCUCGUAGCAAUGCCUUAACAUUGUCAUGCGAUUUCUGUUGCAGGCAGUCAAUGAUCACUGGCCCUUGGGCCGGUUCCAGGAGAUCAGACCCCUCUGCAGCAGCUAAAAGCCUGUCUGCAAAGCUUUGAAAGGAUUCAUUCGGGCCCUGGGUAAUAUCUGUGCACGGAGCAGGUGGUUCGGCCUUAUGCACAAGUUUAUUAAACGCUUCCACCACUGCAUCUGUGGCUGCUAUUAGCUCCCCUGGUCUUAGUUUCGCUAACUGGCCCUGGGGCGAAGCCACUCCCACGGCCUUCCCUGAAAGCUGCUGGAUGCCGGUCCCAUGCAGGGAGCGGCCCAGGGCCGACCCCUGCCGCCCCGGCACGCCCCCCCAACUCGGCCAUCCAGUCCGUCUCCCAUAACUGUAUAUUGAACCAGCCUGAGCACCACACGCAUUAAGUUUGUGAUGUCACGGGGGAGGAGAGGCCCCAGUGCAGCCAAAGUUUGUAGUGCAUUUAAUGUCAGAGGUGAUUUCAAGCCUCUUAUCCAUAAAUUCCACCAGGCGCGUAACACCCCCGGGGUCAGGCGGCACCCAUUCGGGACCACGAUCACUCACAAUCACCCGGAAUGCCUCUGGAACUAUACCCUUCCCCCUGCACUCAAAGCCAAUCCCUUCUUUCUCCUCUACACUAUCACUCGCACCACCGCCCCUGGGAGUGACCAGAGACGGUAGGCUACGCCCCCUGUCCGCAUUGGACGGACCUUUUGUCUGGUCCCUCCCCAUGUGGGCAGUAAGUUGAUCCUGCCCAUGUAGAUCACAGCUUCCUCCGCCCCCUUGAGUCAGGUAACACUGAUCAUUGGUUCAGGCUGUGACCCUGGAAUUCCACUACACUAGGCGAGGCAAGUAGAGGCUAGGGGAGGCAGGGCGAGGCGAGGCAAAGGUGAGGCAAGGCGAGGCAAUGCGAGGAGAGGCACGGCAAGGCAAGGCGAGUUGAGGCGAGGUGAGGCAAGGCAAGGUAAGGCGAGACGAGGCGAGGCGAGACGAGGCGAGGCGAGGUGAGGCGAGGCAAUGGCGCAACGAGGCGAGGAGAGGCAAAGGCAAGGUGAGGCUAGGCAAAGGAGAGGCGUGGCGAGGAGAGGCUAGGCAAGAUGAGAAUAGGCGAUGCGAGGCGGGGCAGGGCGGGGCGAGGGGAAGUGAGGCGGGGUGAGGCUAGGCGAGGCGGGGCGAAAUGAGGCGGGAUGGGGCAGGAUGGGGCGAGGCUAAGCAUGGCGGGGUGAGGCGGGGCGAGGCGGGGUGGGUCUAUGUAUUGCGAGGCGGGAGAGACGGGGCGAGGUAGGGUGAGGCAGAGCGAUGCGUGGCAGGCGAGGUGGGGCAAGGCAAGGUGAGGUGGAGCGUGGCGGGAAGGGGCAAAGCUAGGCGAGACGUGGGAGGUGAGGCAGGGCAGGGCGAGACAGGGCGAGUUUUGUUCGAGGCGAGGCGGGGCGGGGCGAGGCUAGGCGGGGUGGGGCAGGGCGGGUCGAGGCGUGGUGGGGCGAGUGGGGGCGAGGCGGGGCGAGGUGAGGCGUGGCAGGCGAGGCGGGGCAGGGCGGGGCGAGGGGAAGCGAGGCGGGGUCAGGCGAAGCGA
ensembl:lncRNA